UACGUAGGGGGCAAGCGUUGUCCGGAUUUAUUGGGCGUAAAGAGCGUGUAGGCGGUUAGGUAGGUCCGUUGUGAAAACUCGAGGCUCAACCUCGAGACGCCGAUGGAAACCAUCUAACUAGAGUCCGGAAGAGGAGAGUGGAAUUCCUGGUGUAGCGGUGAAAUGCGCAGAUAUCAGGAAGAACACCCGUGACUAAGGCGGCUCUCUAGUACGGUACUGACGCUGAGACGCGAAAGCGUGGGGAGCGAACAGG
rnacentral:rRNA from 1 species